CGUGCUCACGCGCCGAAUCCUGCAAGGAACCGGGGAACCAUCCCUUGGGGUGAAUCGCGCGGAUGCCACCGUGGAACCACGGUCGGUAUACGCGCGUAGGAGACCUUCCUGCUCCGAACCCGUCAGCUAACCCGGUAGGCGAUAAGGAAGGAAAGG
rnacentral:sRNA from 1 species